CCUUAUACAUGCAAGUCGAGCGCNUCNUUCGGGAUGAGCGGCGGACGGGUGAGUAACGCGUGGGAAUGUGCCCUUCUCUACGGAAUAGCCACUGGAAACGGUGAGUAAUACCGUAUACGCCCUCAGGGGGAAAGAUUUAUCGGAGAAGGAUCAGCCCGCGUUAGAUUAGGUAGUUGGUGGGGUAACGGCCUACCAAGCCUACGAUCUAUAGCUGGUUUUAGAGGAUGAUCAGCCACACUGGGACUGAGACACGGCCCAGACUCCUACGGGAGGCAGCAGUAGGGAAUCUUGGACAAUGGGGGCAACCCUGAUCCAGCCAUGCCGCGUGAGUGAAGAAGGCCCUAGGGUCGUAAAGCUCUUUCGCCUGUGAUGAUAAUGACAGUAGCAGGUAAAGAAACCCCGGCUAACUCCGUGCCAGCAGCCGCGGUAAUACGGAGGGGGUUAGCGUUGUUCGGAAUUACUGGGCGUAAAGCGCGCGUAGGCGGAUUGGAAAGUUGGGGGUGAAAUCCCGGGGCUCAACCCCGGAACUGCCUUCAAAACUCCCAGUCUAGAGUUCGAGAGAGGUGAGUGGAAUUCCGAGUGUAGAGGUGAAAUUCGUAGAUAUUCGGAAGAACACCAGUGGCGAAGGCGGCUCACUGGCUCGAUACUGACGCUGAGGUGCGAAAGUGUGGGGAGCAAACAGGAUUAGAUACCCUGGUAGUCCACACCGUAAACGAUGAAUGCCAGUCGUCGGAUAGUAUACUAUUCGGUGACACACCUAACGGAUUAAGCAUUCCGCCUGGG
rnacentral:rRNA from 1 species